AACGGGAUUACUUUUGGGGGGAGGUAAUCAGUAAUUAGUAACUGAUUACUUUUUUCAAGUAACUUGACCAACACUGACCAUUAAUUGAAAGUCUAAAGCAGUUAAUGACUAAUGAGAGAAUGUUUACCAUGUUGAACACUGCACCACAAAGAAGCAGAGAGGGAUUCUUCUAUGAUUUUAGAGACGGGUCCCUCUUUACAUCUCACCCCUUGUUUUCUCAGAGGCCAAAUGCAUUGCAAUUAAUACUGUACACAGAUGAAAUUGAAAUAUGUAACCCCUUAGGGUCCCAUGCUUCUGCAAACAAAUUGGUGAUGUUUUAUUAUACUUUAGGAAAUAUUGAUCCAAAAUUUAGGUCAAAGUUAGCUGCAAUAUGACUUCUUGCUAUUGUUAAAGCAAAUGACAUUUCUCAAUGGGGUAUUGAUGUUGUACUGAAAAGAAUACUUCAAGAUCUGUCACUGCUUUACAAUGGUGUAAGGAUUGAAAUGUCAAAUGGUGAAAUUGAAUUGUUUGGUGCUGUUAUAGCCAUUUGCGGAGAAACGCUAGCCCAGCAUGAGAUUGCUGGCUUUAAAGAAGGGAUUGGUUUUGCUUAUAGCAAAUGUAGACACUGUGAAUGCAACUUUGAUGAUAUGCAAAGUGUUUUUGAGGAGAAGAAGUUUGUUCAAAGAACUCUGGAGAAACAUAUCAGGCAGUGUUUUGAAAUAGAUAAAGCAAGCACAGAUUUAUUGAAAGCGUCCCUCAAAACUACUUAUGGAAUUAAUAGAAGAAGCAGACUAGUUGACGUUCCUGCAUUUGACCUCAUCAAACAAACUCCCCAGGACAUAAUGCAUGUUAUUUUUGAAGGUGUUGCAUCAAUGGAAGUUAAAUUUGUAUUAAAACACCUAAUUCUCUCAGGGCAAUUGGAAUUAGACAAGUUUAAUUCAGACAUUCAAAAUUUUCCUUACUCACCUCUUGAAAUACGGGAUAAACCAUGUCCUAUUAGCUUUGGCACUUUAGCGGCUAACGACAACAAUUUGAAACAGUCUUGUGGACAGAUGCUAAUUCUUUUAAAAAUAUUACUUUUUCUUUUGUAUGGUGUGGAGAGUGAGUAUGUUGUAUUUAUUAGAAAGUUAAUUAUGAUAGUUCAAAUAGUUCUUGCUCCCAUUAUUUCUUUACAAACUGUAUUGCAACUGAGAAGUAUGAUUGAAGAACACCUGUAUCAGUUCAAGCGACUUUUUCCCGAAGCCAAUAUAAUACCUAAGCAACAUUAUAUGUUGCAUCUUCCCAGCCAAAUCUUAUCCCUUGGUCCUUGAAUAAGGAGUAUGUGCAUGCGCUUUGAGGCAAAGCACUCCUAUUUUAAACAGUGGGCUUCUAAGUUAAAUUUUAAAAAUGUUUGUAAAUCCCUAGCAAACCACAGUCAGUUUCUUGAGUGUUGUCAAAAUGAAAUGGGCACUGAACAUCCUAUUUUUGCAAAAGAAAAGGAAUCCGGGCCAGUAUCAGCUGUUAAAAAUAAUGAAUAUGUUAGGAAAAAAAUUAAAGAAUUUUUUGGAAUAGACGUCAUGCAGUCUGUUGUCUCAGUGAAAUGGUAUGUUCUAAAUGGCAAUAAAUACAUUACUGGGAAGUCCAUGAUUAUUGCAGAUGUGGAUGGCACUUUCCCUGUGUUUGGACUGAUAAAGGAUAUCUUUUUGAUUGACUCAUCUUUUAUUGCUUUUGAAUACCAACGCUAUGAAACUUUGAAUUUAAAUGAAGACUUACUGGCAUAUGAAGUAACUGUGCCCAUUGUUGCUCAAGCUACAUAAUUAGCCCAUGAGCUCAUUGAUUAUACUUCAUACUUUUCUAUUAGUUUUAGGGACAGUGUGUUUGUGCCAAUAAAAUACAGUCUUUCUGAUUUUAUUUCCCAUAGAAAUCACCCUUAAGAUUAGGGUUGCACCAAGUAUUGUCUUAGUGUAGUUUGCGAUGCUAUCAGUUGACAGUCAUUAAAUGUUCCCUAAACCAAUAUCAAUGUUGUACCACAUAAUGCUGGCAUGCUGGGACAAACAGCUCUCUUUGAAAUGUGAUUUGUAUCAUAAAUUGUGGUUAAUUUUUUUCCCUUAUAUGUACAAAUUUGAAGUCAGACAUGAUUUUGAAUAAAUCAUAUUUUCAACAGAUGCCUUGUGUGAAUUUCCUAAAUCAAGCAAAUUAGGUUUGUCACUGCAUCUUGAAACAAGUGAUAUUUUGAGAGACAUUUGGUGAGAGACCUAAUGUAGGCUAUUUUAAGAGUUAUUCUUCCCAUUUCUGGAUUUCUGUACUAAUAUAGACACAAUUAUAUGGUUAUUCUCGGUUUAAGUUUAUUAUCUAAAAUCCAGACUUAGAAACAAGUAAAUCUUUUUUUAAAACAAGGCAAAUUAACUGGCCUGUCUAAAAAUAAGAUUUUAAAUCAUGGCAAGCACCAGAUAAUUUGCAGUGUGGGCGCUUGGAGUCAGUUGUUGGACCAUACAAGUUAUUUGAUUCCUCUUUUCGAACACUGCAGGGGUCACGGUGGCUUUCUGAUGAGGUCAUUGAUGCAUACCUGCACCGUGUCAUUGAGAGACGAAAGAAUGCUGUACACCUGCUCUGUUCAGUAGUUGCAAGCUCGUUGUUUUCUGGGCAGUUCAGAUGCCACACCAAGAUGAAGUUCCCAGUUGAAGACAUGUGGCUGUGCCCUGUAAACUUUGGUACACACUGGAUUCUUGUGGUAUGUGUUCAUUUAGUUAUUCAUUUGCGUAAUUUGUUGUGAAGCAGUUUCUUGCUCAAAGUGUUAUUCUUAAAUAGGUUUUCAGUGGCAAAAACUAUUGUAAUUUUUAAUUUAUUAACUUUUUCUUUAGAUUGUCAACAUUUCUGCACAGAAAAUACUGCUCAUAGACCCCAUGGGGAAUGAAGGUGUUUAUGACAGGAAAAUUAGGGUUAGGGUAAUAAAAUGUUAUGGUCACCGGUAUCAAACGCUGCACUUAGGUCUAGCGGGGAAGAUUUCAACAUUUCAAUAUGAAUGAAGGCUGAAAACUGCUUAGAUUAAUGUCUGGUGAUCUUUUCUCUGCUUCUUCAAGUUUGUAACACUGAACAUAUUAAAGGAUGAUUUAAGGUUCACAGGAACAGUUUAAUUAGACACACGUUUACUAUUUUUCUUUAUACUCUUUCUUUCUUUCAUCACUGACAUGUUCAAUAUGAUUACUAUCAGAGGAGAAAAUAAACCCUGUGUAGUUUAAAAUCUUUAAUUUAAUCAAACUGAAAUGUUGAUGAACUCUGCUGCCAUUUAUCAUCUUGUAAAAUGUUCCCUCUGCUUCUGUUGUACAUCUCCCCUGACACUCUCUUCUUCACCUCUCCUGUGCAGAUGGUCCAACCCCUGCCUCCUUAAACUGAUGUGUUUCAAUCUCUUUACCUCUGUUGUGAACUUCACACAAAGUUUGUGGUAACAAAAUCAAACUGACGAACAUCUUGUUUGAAAAACACACUCGCAAGACAAAAUAAAACCAGACUGCUCAAAGUAAAAGCAGAGCCCUCACAGCUGGUAGUACAAAACACAGUAACAACGUGCGUAUUAGAUACCCUCAGUCCCAAAAGCAUAAAUAUAAAAAAUGUGAACAGAUGAAAACAGUGAAAAAACAAAAAGCAGCCAAAUUUUCAUCUGAAAAUGUUGAUUUUUAGUAAAAACAAUGCUCUGUAGUUUCAUACUGUCGUUACAGACAAAGCGGAUGUUUAAAGCCUUUGGACGCACAUUUGAAAUGCCAUAAGUCUCCUUAUCAGCUGGAAAUAUUCAAGCCAUAAAAUGACUUUUGAGAGUGGCUAAAAACUACUGAACAACAGCAAUGCUGAACCUGUUCCAAAAUUUGAAUGUACAUGUGUUGAAGGUGUGGCUCUUGUUGAAUUGUUAAACAUACUUUCUUUAAUUUUUCGAGCCACAAAAACCAAAACUUUUAAUUUUCUUCCGCUUGAAUAUUGGCCUCGGGUAGCUCUACUCAUCAUUGCUGAGUCAGUUGUCUGUUUGUGCUACUUUUUCAAGCAGCAGUCGAUUAUUGGUAAGGGUGACUUUAUGUGUUUAGUUACUUAAGUGGAAAGUUUUACGUUACAUCAAUCAAUCAAUCAAUCAAUCAAUCUUUAUUUAUAAAGCACUUUUCAUACAAACUGUAGCACAAAGUGCUUUACAUGGUUAAAAGCAGCCCACCCCACCCUCCCACUCAUUCCCCGCACUGUCAUUAACAGAAGCGGUCAUGAUACACACA